rnacentral:rRNA from 1 species
UGGGGAAUAUUGCACAAUGGGCGCAAGCCUGAUGCAGCCAUGCCGCGUGUAUGAAGAAGGCCUUCGGGUUGUAAAGUACUUUCAGCGGGGAGGAAGGCGAUAAGGUUAAUAACCUUGUCGAUUGACGUUACCCGCAGAAGAAGCACCGGCUAACUCCGUGCCAGCAGCCGCGGUAAUACGGAGGGUGCAAGCGUUAAUCGGAAUUACUGGGCGUAAAGCGCACGCAGGCGGUCUGUGAAGUCGGAUGUGAAAGCCCCGGGCUCAAGCUGGGAACUGCAUUCGAAACUGGCAGGGUAGAGUCUUGUAGAGGGGGGUAGAAUUCCAGGUGUAGCGGUGAAAUGCGUAGAGAUCGGGAGGAAUACCGGUGGCGAAGGCGGCCCCCUGGACAAAGACUGACGCUCAGGUGCGAAAGCGUGGGGAGCAAACA